CCCCAAGGGCGCGCCUGGAGAGCGGGGAAGUCUGGGACCCCCGGGACCUCCCGGGCUGGGGGGCAAAGGCCUCCCCGGACCCCCCGGAGAGGCAGGAGAGAGUGGUGUCCCAGGUGGAAUGGGCCUCCGGGGCCCCCCGGGACCCUCUGG